rnacentral:rRNA from 1 species
AUUGAACGCUGGCGGCAUGCUUUACACAUGCAAGUCGAACGGUAACAGGGUGCUUGCACCGCUGACGAGUGGCGAACGGGUGAGUAAUGCGUCGGAACGUGCCGAGUAGUGGGGGAUAACGCAGCGAAAGUUGUGCUAAUACCGCAUACGUACUGAGGUAGAAAGUGGGGGACCUUCGGGCCUCACGCUAUUCGAGCGGCCGACGUCUGAUUAGCUAGUAGGUGAGGUAAAGGCUCACCUAGGCGACGAUCAGUAGCGGGUCUGAGAGGAUGAUCCGCCACACUGGGACUGAGACACGGCCCAGACUCCUACGGGAGGCAGCAGUGGGGAAUUUUGGACAAUGGGCGAAAGCCUGAUCCAGCCAUGCCGCGUGUCUGAAGAAGGCCUUCGGGUUGUAAAGGACUUUUGUCAGGGAGGAAAUCCCUAGUGCUAAUAACACUGGGGGAUGACAGUACCUGAAGAAUAAGCACCGGCUAACUACGUGCCAGCAGCCGCAGUAAUAC